rnacentral:rRNA from 1 species
GACGAACGCUGGCGGCGUGCCUAAUACAUGCAAGUCGAACGCUUCUUUCCUCCCGAGUGCUUGCACUCAAUUGGAAAGAGGAGUGGCGGACGGGUGAGUAACACGUGGGUAACCUACCCAUCAGAGGGGGAUGACACUUGGAAACAGGUGCUAAUACCGCAUAACAGUUUAUGCCGCAUGGCAUAAGAGUGAAAGGCGCUUUCGGGUGUCGCUGAUGGAUGGACCCGCGGUGCAUUAGCUAGUUGGUGAGGUAACGGCUCACCAAGGCCACGAUGCAUAGCCGAGCUGAGAGGGUGAUCGGCCACACUGAGACUGAGACACGGCCCAGAGUCCUACGGGAGGGAGCAGUAGGGAAUCUUCGGCAAUGGACGAAAGUCUGACCGAGCAACGCAGCGUGAGUGAAGAAGGUUUUCGGAUCGUAAAACUCUGUUGUUAGAGAAGAACAAGGACGUUAGUAACUGAACGUCCCCUGACGGUAUCUAACCAGAAAGCCACGGCUAACUACGUG